rnacentral:tRNA from 1 species
GCUACUGUGGCUCAGGCGGUAGAGCAGCUGAUUCGUAAUCAGCAGGUCGGGAGUUCGAGUCUCCCCAGUAGCUCCA